rnacentral:rRNA from 1 species
GACGAACGCUGGCGGCGCGCCUAACACAUGCAAGUCGAGCGGAGGCAUACGAGGAGUAAUCUGAGUAUGCCUGAGCGGCGGACGGGCGAGUAACGCGUGAGCAACCUGCCUUCCACAGGGGGAUAACGUACCGAAAGGUCCACUAAUACCCCAUGAGAACACGGUACCGACGGUCGUGGGGCCAAAGGAGCAAUCCGGUGGGAGAUGGGCUCGCGGCCGAUUAGGUAGUUGGCGGGGUAACGGCCCACCAAGCCUGUGAUCGGUAGCCGGCCUGAGAGGGUGAACGGCCACAUUGGAACUGAGAGACGGUCCAAACUCCUACGGGAGGCAGCAGUGGGGAAUAUUGGGCAAUGGGGGGAACCCUGACCCAGCAACGCCGCGUGAGGGAAGAAGGUUUUCGGAUUGUAAACCUCUGUUCUUGGAGAAGAGUGGAAGACGGUAUCCAAGGAGGAAGCCCCGGCUAACUACGUGCCAGCCGCCGCCGUAACAC